rnacentral:rRNA from 1 species
CCUACGGGUGGCAGCAGUGGGGAAUAUUGCACAAUGGGGGAAACCCUGAUGCAGCGACGCCGCGUGAGUGAGGAAGUAUUUCGGUAUGUAAAGCUCUAUCAGCAGGGAAGAAAAUGACGGUACCUGACUAAGAAGCCCCGGCUAACUACGUGCCAGCAGCCGCGGUAAUACGUAGGGGGCAAGCGUUAUCCGGAUUUACGGGGUGUAAAGGGAGCGUAGACGGUUAAUCAAGUCAGAUGUGAAAUCCUUCGGCUUAACCGCAGAACUGCAUUUGAAACUGUUGAACUUGAGUACUGGAGAGGCAGACGGAAUUCCUAGUGGAGCGGUGAAAUGCGUAGAUAUUAGGAGGAACACCAGUGGCGAAGGCGGUCUGCUGGACAGCAACUGACGGUGAGGCGCGAAAGCGUGGGGAGCAAACAGGAUUAGAUACCCUGGUAGUC